GGGGAAAUCUGGGUCCGGAGAAUCGCUGAGUCAUCAGAUGUGCGACCCGUCACGACGGAACCGGACCGGUUCUGAAUUUACAUCCAGACCCAUUUCAGCCUAAGGACACAUGGGGGGGACAAAGGUGACUAAUGAAGACGAGCUACAGGUGUGGAGGAUGAUGAUGAGGACCAGCCACCAGAGGAAGAAAUCCCUGUUUGACCAAAGAGAAAGCAGCAGAUGAAAUAUUCCCCAAGAAAAUUAGUGACCACAGUGGAUUGGUCACUUCAAAGAAGACAACAUGAAGAUCUCCCUGUUAUCAGAGCGUUACAGGAAGUCUAUAGAGGAGAUGGCUGACACAAUCACUGCAAAAAAAAUAUAUUAGGACUGUUGAAAGAACCUAUUUUCUUAAGUUAAAGAAUAAGUAAUUCUGUUUUAGUUUUUCAAUCAGUGUUUCACAGUUACAAUAUACUGACCAGAAGUUAAACCCUGUUUGAAGAACAAGUAAUUUUUUGUUUUAUUCCAAUGUACAAAGUGUUUGUUCUACUAUAUGGUAGUUAUCAGUAAUCCAGUGUUUCUCACUUCACUUGAGGUAAAACUUAACAUUAAUGACUGUUAAUGCUGACAAUUAAUUACAUCUUUAUAACUGUUGCUGCUUGUUUCACUUGAUGUAAGAGGAAUUAUUAAUGACUCUUAUUAACUCAUUUGACAAAGUAAUAAAGCUUAUUGAAAUCUUUAUUGUUGGUCCUA